rnacentral:rRNA from 1 species
CCUACGGGUGGCAGCAGUGGGGGAUAUUGCACAAUGGGGGGAACCCUGAUGCAGCGACGCCGCGUGGGUGAAGGAGCGUUUCGGCGCGUAAAGCCCUAUUGGUAGGGAAGAAGAUGACGGUACCUGACCAAUAAGCCCCGGCUAACUACGUGCCAGCAGCCGCGGUAAUACGGAGGGGGCAAGCGUUAUCCGGAUUUACUGGGCGUAAAGGGGGCGCAGAAGGGGAUGCAAGCCAGGAGUGAAAGCCUGGGGCCCAACCCCGGGACUGCACUUGGAACUGGAUGGCUGGAGUACAGGAGAGGCAGGCGGAAUUCCUGGUGUAGCGGUGAAAUGCGUAGAUAUUAGGAGGAACACCGAUGGCGAAGGCGGCCUGCUGGACUGUGACUGACGUUGAGGCCCGAAAGCGUGGGGAGCAAACAGGAUUAGAUACCCUGGUAGUC